rnacentral:rRNA from 1 species
GAACUUAAGCAUAUCAAUAAGGCGAGGAACAGAAACCAACCGGGAUUCCCCCAGUAGUGGCGAAUGAAGCGGGAAAAGCUCAAGUUUGAAAUCCGGCGGGCGACCUCCGGAGUUGUAAGCUGAUGAGGUAUCGACCGACGUGGUCCGGGCCCAAUUUCCUUGGAACAGGAGGUCAUGGAGGGUGAGAACCCCGUCCGUGGCUCGGGUGCCAUCGUCCUUAUGUCGUGCCCUCUAAGAGUCGGGUUGUUUGGGAAUGCAGCUCAAAAUGGGUGGUAAAUUUCAUCUAAAGCUAAAUACUGGCGAGAGACCGAUAGCAAACAAGUAGAGUGAUCGAAAGAUGAAAAGUACUUUGAAAAGAGAGUGAAACAGUACGUGAAAUUGUUGAAAGGGAAGCGUUUGGCAUCAGCCCUUGGCGUCCGUCGAACAUCCAGGCUUCUGUCUGGUGCACUCGUCGGCCGUCGGGCCAGCGUCGGCUCUGCCUGUCGGAGAAAGGCUCGAGGGACGUGGCUCACCUUCGGGGGAGCGUUAUAACCUCGGGUGUCAUGCGAUGUGGUGGGGCCGAGGUCCGCGGACUCUGUCCUAGGACGCUGGCGUAAUGGUUCCAAGCGACCCGUCUUGAAACACGGACCAAGGAGUCUAACAUCUAUGCGAGUGUUUGGGUGUCAAGCCCGUCCGCGCAAUGAAAGUGAAUGCAGGCGGGAGCCGUAAAAGGUGCACCGCCGACCGGUCCGGGGGUUUACCGAAGGAUCCGAGUAAGAGCAUAGCUGUUGGGACCCGAAA